CCUACGGGUGGCAGCAGUGGGGGAUAUUGCACAAUGGGGGGAACCCUGAUGCAGCGACGCCGCGUGAGUGAAGAAGCGCCUCGGCGUGUAAAGCUCUGUCAGCAGGGAAGAAAAUGACCGUACCUGGAGUAGAAGCCCCCGCUAAAUACGUGCCAGCAGCCGCGGUAAUACGUAGGGGGCCAGCGUUAUCCGGAUUUACUGGGGGUAAAGGGGGCGCAGACGGCGAUGCAAGUCAGGAGUGAAAGCCCGGGGCCCAACCCCGGGACUGCUGUUGGAACUGCGUGGCUGGAGUGCAGGAGGGGCAGGCGGAAUUCCUGGUGUAGCGGUGAAAUGCGUAGAUAUCAGGAGGAACACCGGUGGCGAAGGCGGCUUGCUGGACUGCAACUGACGUUGAGGCCCGAAAGCGUGGGGAGCAAACAGGAUUAGAUACCCUGGUAGUC
rnacentral:rRNA from 1 species